AUUGAACGCUGGCGGCAUGCCUUACACAUGCAAGUCGAACGGCAGCGGACCUUCGGGUGCCGGCGAGUGGCGAACGGGUGAGUAAUGCAUCGGAACGUGCCAUUGAGUGGGGGAUAACGUAGCGAAAGUUACGCUAAUACCGCAUAUUCUGUGAGCAGGAAAGCAGGGGACCGCAAGGCCUUGCGCUCUUUGAGCGGCCGAUGUCAGAUUAGCUAGUUGGUGAGGUAAAGGCUUACCAAGGCGACGAUCUGUAGCGGGUCUGAGAGGAUGAUCCGCCACACUGGAACUGAGACACGGUCCAGACUCCUACGGGAGGCAGCAGUGGGGAAUUUUGGACAAUGGGCGCAAGCCUGAUCCAGCCAUGCCGCGUGAGUGAAGAAGGCCU
rnacentral:rRNA from 1 species